rnacentral:rRNA from 1 species
ACUGACUCAGGAUCACUCGUGUUACACUGCAAUCGCGUGUCGCCCUUAGAGUUUGAUCCUGGCUCAGGAUGAACGCUGGCGGCGUGCCUAAUACAUGCAAGUCGAGCGAACAGACGAGGAGCUUGCUCCUCUGAUGUUAGCGGCGGACGGGUGAGUAACACGUGGAUAACCUACCUAUAAGACUGGGAUAACUUCGGGAAACCGGAGCUAAUACCGGAUAACAUGUUGAACCGCAUGGUUCAACAGUGAAAGACGGUCUUGCUGUCACUUAUAGAUGGAUCCGCGCCGCAUUAGCUAGUUGGUAAGGUAACGGCUUACCAAGGCAACGAUGCGUAGCCGACCUGAGAGGGUGAUCGGCCACACUGGAACUGAGACACGGUCCAGACUCCUACGGGAGGCAGCAGUAGGGAAUCUUCCGCAAUGGGCGAAAGCCUGACGGAGCAACGCCGCGUGAGUGAAGAAGGUCUUCGGAUCGUAAAACUCUGUUAUUAGGGAAGAACAAAUGUGUAAGUAACUAUGCACGUCUUGACGGUACCUAAUCAGAAAGCCACGGCUAACUACGUGCCAGCAGCCGCGGUAAUACGUAGGUGGCAAGCGUUAUCCGGAAUUAUUGGGCGUAAAGCGCGCGUAGGCGGUUUUUUAAGUCUGAUGUGAAAGCCCACGGCUCAACCGUGGAGGGUCAUUGGAAACUGGAAAACUUGAGUGCAGAAGAGGAAAGUGGAAUUCCAUGUGUAGCGGUGAAAUGCGCAGAGAUAUGGAGGAACACCAGUGGCGAAGGCGACUUUCUGGUCUGUAACUGACGCUGAUGUGCGAAAGCGUGGGGAUCAAACAGGAUUAGAUACCCUGGUAGUCCACGCCGUAAACGAUGAGUGCUAAGUGUUAGGGGGUUUCCGCCCCUUAGUGCUGCAGCUAACGCAUUAAGCACUCCGCCUGGGGAGUACGACCGCAAGGUUGAAACUCAAAGGAAUUGACGGGGACCCGCACAAGCGGUGGAGCAUGUGGUUUAAUUCGAAGCAACGCGAAGAACCUUACCAAAUCUUGACAUCCUCUGAUCCCUCUAGAGAUAGAGUUUUCCCCUUCGGGGGACAGAGUGACAGGUGGUGCAUGGUUGUCGUCAGCUCGUGUCGUGAGAUGUUGGGUUAAGUCCCGCAACGAGCGCAACCCUUAAGCUUAGUUGCCAUCAUUAAGUUGGGCACUCUAAGUUGACUGCCGGUGACAAACCGGAGGAAGGUGGGGAUGACGUCAAAUCAUCAUGCCCCUUAUGAUUUGGGCUACACACGUGCUACAAUGGACAAUACAAAGGGUAGCAAAACCGCGAGGUCAAGCAAAUCCCAUAAAGUUGUUCUCAGUUCGGAUUGUAGUCUGCAACUCGACUACAUGAAGCUGGAAUCGCUAGUAAUCGUAGAUCAGCAUGCUACGGUGAAUACGUUCCCGGGUCUUGUACACACCGCCCGUCACACCACGAGAGUUUGUAACACCCGAAGCCGGUGGAGUAACCUUUUGGAGCUAGCCGUCGAAGGUGGGACAAAUGAUUGGGGUGAAGUCGUAACAAGGUAACCAAGGGCGACACGCGAUUGCAGUCUUGAGUCCACU